rnacentral:rRNA from 1 species
UUAAGCAUAUCAAUUAGCGGAGGAAAAGUACCAACUGGGAUUGCCUUAGUAACGGCGAGUGAAGCGGCAAAAGCUCAAAUUUGAUAUCUGGUACCUUUGGUGCCCGAGUUGUAAUUUGUAGAGUACCACUUUGGGACUAUACUUUGCCUAUGUUCCUUGGAACAGGACGUCAUGGAGGGUGAGAAUCCCGUGUGGCGAGGGUGUUAGUUCUUUGUAAAGGGUGCUCGAAGAGUCGAGUUGUUUGGGAAUGCAGCUCUAAGUGGGUGGUAAAUUCCAUCUAAAGCUAAAUACAGGCGAGAGACCGAUAGCGAACAAGUACAGUGAUGGAAAGAUGAAAAGAACUUUGAAAAGAGAGUGAAAAAGUACGUGAAAUUGUUGAAAGGGAAGGGCAUUUGAUCAGACAUGGCUGCUUUUCGCCCCCCUGCUCCUUGUGGGCGGGGGGACUCUCGAGGGCAGCUGGGCCAGCAUCAGUUUUUGCGGUGCGACAAAACUCCGGGAAUGUAGCUGUCUGCUUCUGUGGGCAUGUGUUAUAGACCGGGGGAAUAGCGCCAGCGGGGACUGAGGACUGCGAUACUUGUUAUCUAGGAUGCUGGCAUG